rnacentral:rRNA from 1 species
AUUGAACGCUGGCGGCAUGCUUUACACAUGCAAGUCGAGCGGCAGCGCGGGGGCAACCCUGGCGGCGAGCGGCGAACGGGUGAGUAAUGCAUCGGAACGUAUCCUCGAGUGGGGGAUAACCCAGCGAAAGUUGGGCUAAUACCGCAUGAGCUCUGAGGAGGAAAGCGGGGGACCUGCGAGGGCCUCGCGCUGGAGGAGCGGCCGAUGUCCGAUUAGCUAGUUGGUGGGGUAAAGGCUUACCAAGGCGACGAUCGGUAGCUGGUCUGAGAGGAUGAUCAGCCACACUGGGACUGAGACACGGCCCAGACUCCUACGGGAGGCAGCAGUGGGGAAUUUUGGACAAUGGGGGCAACCCUGAUCCAGCCAUGCCGCGUGAGUGAAGAAGGCCUUCGGGUUGUAAAGCUCUUUCGGACGGAACGAAAUGGGCGGGACUAAUACUCCUGUCUGAUGACGGUACCGUAAGAAGAAGCACCGGCUAACUACGUA